UACGUAGGGGGCAAGCGUUGUCCGGAUUUAUUGGGCGUAAAGAGCGUGUAGGCGGUUUGGUAGGUCCGCUGUGAAAACUCGAGGCUCAACCUCGAGACGCCGGUGGAAACCAUCAGACUAGAGUCCGGAAGAGGAGAGCGGAAUUCCUGGUGUAGCGGUGAAAUGCGCAGAUAUCAGGAAGAACACCCGUGGCUAAGGCGGUUCUCUAGUACGGUACUGACGCUGAGACGCGAAAGCGUGGGGAGCGAACAGG
rnacentral:rRNA from 1 species